AUGUCACGCCCACCUCGUCAUGGGAAGAGCAACGCCGAGGCGGGAAGAGCAGCGGCGGCCGCCCUUUCCCUUCAUAGACAGGUGGUGCUGGCGUUGGAUGCCCCUGGAGCCCAGAUCUCCCCCUACUCCACAAGCAACCCGCCACGGAGGAGCAAGGACGAUGUUGUGCAAGUAGCGGCGGCAACGGCCGAUUCCAUCAGUGAACCGGAAACUGAGGAGCAUGAACAGAAGGUAAACAGAUACCAAGCUGAACUUGCAGCACGCAUUAAGGCCAAAUACUUCUCUAAUAAGGCUUCUGACGGAGGAAAAAUCUUUGAAGAAGAAACUAUUGUUGAAGGCGAAACCAUCCAUUCAAGCAGGUGGCCAUGCACAAGUUCGUAUGCGAACCCGGCAAAUUUUCUCCGAGAGAAGAACAACCAUGAAAGGAGGGAUUCUCCAUCAGCAGCAGAUUCCUCUGCGAAGAACGAUUCUCCAUCUGUGGUAGCUGAAGCCUCGCCAAAAAGUAAUGCAGGUGUUCCGGCAACAGAAAACAAUCUAACACCUGCCAAGAGACAGGUAUCCAAGGAGACCUGA
rnacentral:rRNA from 1 species